rnacentral:lncRNA from 1 species
AUUACAUACAAGAAAACUAAGCUGGGGCUGUUACUUUAAAACUCCAUUUCCCCAACUGUGUGUUUGCUUGCAAGUGAGCCACUUUUUUUUUUUUUUUCCUAGUGGUUUUGUGUGCUGCUGUCUCAUGUCUCAUAGAAGAGCAAGAGUGGCUAGACAACAUGUGAAGAAGCACUACUCUAGAUUACCUCAGGAGCCUGGAGUUUUGUCCUUACCCUUUGCUGCCUGGCCACAGCACAGCUGCAUGUGGUGAAGGUGACGCAGUCAGAACUUGGCAAAAUAGAAGCUGUGCGUCAUUUAACUUACCUAGGUGAUUGAUGGAGCAGAAAAACUAACGACCCAUGAAGGAACAAAUGUUUCUCAAACAAAAGGUAAAUAAAUCUGAUAAUGGAGCUGUAAGGAUGGGUGAAAAUCAGAGGUUGUAAGUGCCCUUAAAUCCCCCUGAAACUGCAGCCUCAGACCUUCUGCAUGAAUUUCUAUGGGGAGAAGAAAAGCAAUAACUUUGGGAGUGUCAAAAGCUGUGAUGCAGAGAAAAUUAAUGUUUACAUCAUUUUUAAAUGCAUACAGUUUGUAAUACACAUUGAGAGCUAGCUGAGGACACAAUUGCAAAAUGCAUUGUAUUGUAAGUGCACUGCAACGGCUGCAGAGAGCCCCUGGAUCAUAUUGACGGGAUGGCACGCCAGCUGGAUCCAACUAAGAAUUCCUCAUCAAGGUGUGUUUAAACUCCGAGAAUACAAAAUCUUUUUCCAUUAAGUAUGAUAGCUACGUAGUCAUUUUUAGUGUUCUCUUUUCUCAUGCUAUUCGCUUUAUUGCUGUCCACCUUGGGAUUCCUGCUACUAUGGGAUUUCUUACUGGGCUGAUGCUUGGCCAAUAUUUGUCCAACUUCUCUUUUUUUUGUCUCCUGUGAAAACUGUCUGAAACUAAGCAGAAACUAACCUUAAUUUAUUUCUUUAAUAAACAAAAUUAAGAUACUGCAUAUUAAUAAAAAAUGAAAAGUAUUCCCUUGUUGGUUUUCUUUUUUUUUUUUUUUUUUUUUAAGUUUCCCAAAACAGUCCCAUAUCUCUGUCAAAGUUAACGUAACUAGAAUUUCCAUGGGAAUUUGUGUUGAUCUGGGGAAACUGGAACUGGCUAAUGUAAAUAACUAUAGCCCAUCCUCCA